CUGAUCAUCAUGCUUAGGUAUUAUUCGGGAAACAUAUUUUUCUGUGUUAUGUAUUGAAAAUCUAUUAGGUCUUUGAAUGGCAUUUAGAAGACAAGCAUAAGGAAGGAGAGAAUGAGUGAGUGAAGGUUUAAUUUUUACAUACGCACUCAGCAA